AACGCACAUUGCGCCCGCCAGUAUUCUGGCGGGCAUGCCUGUUCGAGCGUCAUUUCAACCAUCAAGCCCCCGGCUUGUGUUGGGGACCUGCGGCUGCCGCAGGCCCUGAAAAGCAGUGGCGGGCUCGCUGUCACACCGAGCGUAGUAGCAUACAUCUCGCUCUGGGCGUGCUGCGGGUUCCGGCCGUAAAACCACCUUCAUAACCCAAGGUUGACCUCGGAUCAGGUAGGAAGACCCGCUGAACUUAA
rnacentral:misc_RNA from 1 species